rnacentral:rRNA from 1 species
GAUGAACGCUGGCGGCGUGCCUAAUACAUGCAAGUCGAGCGAACGGACGAGAAGCUUGCUUCUCUGAUGUUAGCGGCGGACGGGUGAGUAACACGUGGAUAACCUACCUCUAAGACUGGGAUAACUUCGGGAAACCGGUGCUCAUACCGGCCGAUAUUUUGAACCGCAUGGUUCCAAAGUGAAAGACGGUCUUGCUGUCACUUAUAGAUGGAUCCGCGCUGCAUUAGCUAGUUGGUAAGGUAACGGCUUACCAAGGCAACGAUGCAUAGCCGACCUGAGAGGGUGAUCGGCCACACGGGAACUGAGACACGGUCCAGACUCCUACGGGAGGCAGCAGUAGGGAAUCUUCCGCAAUGGGCGAAAGCCUGACGGAGCAACGCCGCGUGAGUGAUGAAGGUCGUCGGAUCGUAAAACUCUGUUAUUAGGGAAGAACAUAUGUGUAAGUAACUGUGCACAUCUUGACGGUACCUAAUCAGAAAGCCACGGCUAACUACGUG